UACGAAGGGGGCUAGCGUUGCUCGGAAUCACUGGGCGUAAAGCGCACGUAGGCGGACUCUUAAGUCGGUGGUGAAAUCCUGGAGCUCAACUCCAGAACUGCCUUCGAUACUGAGAGUCUCGAGUCCGGGAGAGGUGAGUGGAACUGCGAGUGUAGAGGUGAAAUUCGUAGAUAUUCGCAAGAACACCAGUGGCGAAGGCGGCUCACUGGCCCGGUACGUGACGCUGAGGUGCGAAAGCGUGGGAGCAAACAGG
rnacentral:rRNA from 1 species